AUGGCUGUCAUCACCUUCUCACAAGAGCCGGCAAUCCACAAAAUCAACACCAAACCAGGAGAGGGGUGAGGACGGAACACGGAGCCCAAACCAGUGACAAACUCCUGUACUGGCAACAGCAGAACCAAACAGAACUUCAAGCCUGCCUGCGGUCCGCGUCGGGGUGGGGGCUGUGAGAACGGCCGGAGUCUCACAGGAGGAGGAUAAGGAUGCUGGCUCUAGAGCACGGGGCGGCGGGGAGGAAAGCAGCUGACAGUUGCACGCACAGCUGACGCUCUGGACACUGCACCGCACGGCCCCGAAGCAAGGACACCUCGGCAGCAACAAGCACACCACGCACAGAAUCUUGGUUCCUCUCUACCACUUCCCACCGAGAGGACUGAGGCUCCUGGAAGAGAGAGAACCAAUUCCAGGACUCUGCCCAAGAUCUGGACCCAGAGACCGCGUCCUCUCCUCGAGAACUGCAUCAGGGCCAGCGCAACACUGCCAACACCAAAUGGAUUCCCAAAGAUGGGAUGCGUCUUCUGUCCAGGAAACUUGCCACACCAAACACAGCCCUGGGCCUGGGACCCACAACAGAGGUCAGACCCCCAUAGAACGUGAUUUCCAGAGAAGACACAGCAAGCUGAGAAAUGAAACAGGUACGUCCUCUGAGUUGAGAAGCGGAAGUUUCGCGGCCUCUAUGGUGUGCUCCAAAAUACCACAGCAACAAAAAAAAAGGAAAAGGAAGAGAAGGAACGAACAAGAUAGGAACCAUGUGGCAAAAUCUUGACCAUGAUCAUGGAAUUGAAACAAGAACCAUUUUAAAAGCUCCUGUAUUGAAGGACUAAGGGAACAAAACGACCAGAGCCAAGGAGGCACAGAGCCAUGAUCUCUGACUGGAGGGGACGAGGCUGGGAGAUGGCACCCACUUCACAUUGACUGGGACAGCCAUGGUCAAAAAGAUGAGCCAAAACAAAAACAAGUGCUGGCAAGGAUGUGGAGAAGCUGAAACCCUCACGCGUCGCUGGCGGAAAUGCAAAAUGACGUGGCUACUGUGGAAAACGGUUUGGUGGUUCCUCAGAAAGUUAAAGAAAGAAUUACCACAUGACUCAGCGAUUUACUCCUGGGUGUACACUCCAAAGACUGAAAAGAGACACUCAAACAGAUGCUUGUACACAUUCAGAGCAGCACUAUUCACAACAGUCACAAGAUGGAAAAAACUCACAUGUUCAUCAGAUGAAUAAACAAAAUGUGGUCUACGCAUACGAGGGAAGAUUACUCAGCCAGAAAAAGAAAUGAGGCUCUGCCACAGGCCAUCGCGCAGAUGAACCUUGAGAACGUUACGCAGAGUGAGAUGCGCCAGGCACAAAAUGACAAAUCAGUCUACUUACAUGAAACACCUACUUCAGGCAAAUUCAUAGAGACAAAAAAAGGAAAGGAGAGUUACUGCUUAAUAGGUACAGAGUUUCUGCUUGGGGUGGCAAGAAUGUUUUACAAACAGGCAAUGAUGAUGGUCACACAACACCGUAAACAUACUUAUGCCACCAAAAGUAGGCUUAAAAAUGGCUGAGGGGCACCUGGGUAGCUCAGCCGGUUAAGCUUCUGCUCUUGAUUUCGGCUCAGGUCCUGAUCUCAAGGUUAGUGAGUCUGAGCCCCGAACUGGAAUUCUCUCUCUCCCCCUCUCUCUGCCCCUCCACUGCUCACGCAUGCUCUCUCUCCCUCAAAAAUAAAUAAACUUUAA